GCACUGAGAGUGGAAAUCAGACACUAACUGUGGAAGAAAUCUUCGAGGCAAUGUGUGGAAAUGUGUUUCUUGUGCACACAGCACUGAGGAGCCUGUGGAAAAAUCAAGAACUGAGACCGACAGCUGUAGAUGUGGAUCUGCCGUGCUCAUUUCAACGACAAGCAGAAGAAUGCAAUGAAGAAAUGGUGUGAGUGGCGUCAGUGCUGCCAGCUGUGGUCACACAUGUGGUUUCAAAAAGAACAUGUGCAUUCACUGCCAGAAUCACACACCUUAAAGUGCACUUUUAAGUGCUUUAAGAUAAUGUACUGCCAGGAGUUUACGUUCAUACAUGUAAUGUUGAUACUUUGUUCUUCGUAGUUUCUGAAAAAGGAUGUUAAUACUGAGUUCAAAUACAACUUAGAUCAUAAUACAAAAUGUUUGCUUCACAGCACACACAAAUAUAUUACAGCAAAAUGUAAUUUGCACUGUGAAUGGAUGCAGAUGUGUGUUUCUCUAAGAAAAGUUAUUUUGUAGGUGGAUUACAGUUUGAAAUUCAUUUAGAUUGUCAAACUACAGAGUACAAAUGCAUUUUUUCUACAGCAAGUGGAAGCAAGCCAUGUGGGUAAGAGGAAGCAUCCAAAUAUGUUAAUGUAACAACUGCACAUAGGAGGGAAUCAUUUUAUUCUCAGACAAUGUUAGAAUAGCAACACUCUGCACAUACUGAUAAUAGUGAAGUAUUUCAGUCUGUAUAUUUGGAGAUAAAGUAUUUCACAUCAACAUAUGUACAGAUGAAGGAGGAGCAUUUUCUCUGUAUGAUUUUUAUUCUGUAAAACGACUAUGUCUAUAAUAUCUGCACCUGAUAAGGUUCCAUCCAUCCAUCCAUUCACUUCUGCUUAUCCUGUUCAGGGUCGCGGGGGGGCUGGAGCCUAUCCCAGCUGUGAUAGGGUGAGAAGCAGGGUACACCUGUACAGGUCGCCAGCCUGUCACAGGGCCAACACAGAGAGACAGACAACCUUUCACACUCUCAUUCACACCUAUGGGCAAUUAAGUGUAGCCAGUUAACCUCUAACCCCAGGAAGUGCCUGAUGAGGUUUAAAAUUGAUGUAGUUUAAAGUCAGGCUUUCAAAUGGCUUCAUGGCUGCUGUGUAUCUGUUCAUUUCCUUCCUCAAAAUUAAGAAACCUGAAGGUGUGGACCCUCUCCACACACUCUCUGUUGAUGUGGAGGGGGGCUGGGUCAGUCCUGUGCUUCCUGAACUUUUUGGUUUUCAUGGUGUUCAGUGCAGGUUGUUCUCUGUCAGCUUCAGGACCUCCUCUCUGUGGGCUGCCUCAUCUCCUCAGCUUUUGGAUGAUAUUCAGAAAAUAAAAACAAGUUUAUGUAUUACUCAGCUGUAUGAACGGAUUGUAAGGAAAGGACUGUUUUUGUGAGCUUUCUUUGUGCAUCAAUUUGUCAGUCUGGAUACGUCAUGUGACCGGCGUUGCCAGGUCAACGGACUCUUAGAGUUUCUCCACUGACAUAAAUUUUUGGCACUUUUGGGGAGAACUGUGGUUUUUGGUUUCAUAGUUACUGAAUGCAAAUGAUGUUUUAGUUGGAAUGACUCUAUGAGGCCUGGUCACGUCGCUGUCAUGGCCGCUGAGCUGCUGCGUUCGGUUCCUGUUUGGGCCUGUUUGCCGUCAGUGGGCUUGGUUCCACUUCAGGCUGUCGGCCGUAAUCCAGCACCACUGCUGUUAGAAGAGCCUCUGAAUGUUAAACGUGUAGUUGUGUAUUUAAUACUACAUUUCCAACAGUAUGAAGCUACUAACAGUUACAGUGUUUUUGUAUCAAAUGUAUCAUCGUCACUGUUCAAGAAAUCUAAAUAAAUAGA